UACGUAGGGGGCAAGCGUUGUCCGGAAUUAUUGGGCGUAAAGAGCGUGUAGGCGGUCCGGUAAGUCCGCUGUGAAAGUCCAGGGCUCAACCCUGGAAUGCCGGUGGAUACUGCCGGGCUAGAGUCCGGAAGAGGCGAGUGGAAUUCCUGGUGUAGCGGUGAAAUGCGCAGAUAUCAGGAGGAACACCUGUGGCGAAAGCGGCGCACUGGACCACAACUGACGCUGAGGCGCGAAAGCUAGGGGAGCAAACAGG
rnacentral:rRNA from 1 species